GCCUACGGCCAUACCACCCUGAAAGCGUCUGAUCUCGGAAGCUAAGCAGAGACGGGCCUGGUUAGUACCUGGAUGGGAGACCGCCUGGGAAUACCAGGUGUUGUAGGCU
rnacentral:rRNA from 1 species